AUAUCAAUUUGGUUCGUGGUAUAUAAAAUGCAAUUAUCCAGAUAUCUAAAAUACCCAAUUGAUAUAAUUUAUGUACCCGUUCCGAAUUGGCGUACCAACUAAGUCUACUCCCCAUUGUAUCCUAUAUCUAGUUAAGUGGCGGAUUGCGUGCCUAUACCCGUAUCGCGACCCAACCACCAUCUUUAGUCUCUAUUUCCCUCUUCCUGAUCUUUUCUUUAUUAACAUCUAGUUUAAGCAUACUUAUUCUCUGGUCAUUGAUUUGAAUAUUCUUUUUUUUUUUCCUUGCAGAACUCUAUGUAGAUGGCGAAGA
rnacentral:misc_RNA from 1 species